GCUCCGUGUGAGGCUCUGUGCUGACGACACGGAGCCUGCUUGGGAUUCCCUCUCUCUCUCCGUCUCUUAAACAUUUGUGGCUCUGGCAUGGAGGAGAGUUGUGUGUCCGUAAGCAGAAUCCCGGUUGCCUCAUCCAUAAAAUCAGGAAGAACAAUUCCUACAUUAGUUUAGCUGCCGGUAUAGCUAUCAUCUUUAAAGUACACGUGCUCCGAGAGCCUGGCCUCACCUGCGCACAAGGUCACGCUGGCCACAGGACCGAGCGCUCAGCCCCAGCAAUGGUGUUUUAAGGGCUCUCAUUAAUUAGUGACACAUUAAAAAGCUGCCUCUUUCUGUAAAAACGCCAACUUUUACAUGUGGAUAGCAGACUCAAAACAAAUUUAAAUCCACGUCGACCACCUGAAUGAUCUUCAGUGGCAUUCACCUGAGUUCACUGGGGUGCAUGCAUCUGUCUCCGGGCCUUUGCACUGCCGGUCCUCACCACCCACCCGGCACAGGUACGCGCACUGCUUAUUCUGUCACCUCGUGUGGCCCUUUGUCAAAUGCCAUGUCACCAAAUAGGCUUUCCCUGAGCUCUCCAUGUCCAACAACUGGGCAGAGAAUGAACGGGUCCAUGGAGGCAUCUCACUCACACAUUCCCCCUCGGCCUUCCAGCCCCCUGUUGUUUCCAAGCUUCUCUGAACCUCUGCCUUCUCUCUUCCCAAGCGCUUCACCUGCUGGACCUCAAGCUGCAUUGGCCUGGACUUGAUUUUAUUCAGUUUCUCAUUUCACGUUGGCUGUAUUUCAUUUACCGGAAACUCUGUCCCACGGCUGAGACCUCUAGAGCCCAGAGAUAACAGCCCUCUGGUGUGAGGUCCACGGUGCUCAAAAUCAAAUGUUUUCCAAUGCAAUCAGGACCUCUCCUCCUCCUUGUUAUCCUUGGUUUGGAUGGCACUGCCCCAGCUCGGACCCUGGUCCCUCAGCACCACCACAGUGCAGCCCCCGGUGAGGGUAGGACAUCUGUGGGAAGGGCCUUCUGCAAGCAGGGCAAUGCUAAACAUCGUCCCCACCAAAAGGAGAGAGCAACUUCUUUAUAGUAAAAAGAGAGAGAGAGAGAGACAGAGAGAGCAAGCAGGUGGUUGGGUAUAGCGAGAUCAAAAGAAAACAUCAAGUUUGAUAAGAAUCAAAUAAACCGAUCAGGAAGUGGGUGGCAUAAUUAAGUAUAUGGUUUAAAAUAAGCUGACCUGGUUUAAAUUCCUAAAUGUUAGCCUUAUGGUUUUAUCUAGUAAUUUCUUGCGAGCACCAUCACGGACUGAAUUGUGUCCCCAGCCCACGAUUCACCUGCUGGAGCCCUGACCCCCAGGACCUCAGAAUGUGACCACAUGGGGACAGAGGCAAUGAGGUUAAAAUGAGGUCACAUGCCUGGGUCCUAAGCCAACGUGACCAGUGUGUCCCUAAGAAGAGGACACAGACCCACAGAGGAAAGACCGAGUGCCGACACAGAAAGAAGGCGGCCGUCGGCAUGCCAGGUAGAGAGGCGUCAGCAGAGACCCACCCGCCUGGGCCCCCGUCUCUGGUUUCCAGCCUCCAGAAUGAGGAGGAAAUACGUCUCUGUGGCGCGCGGUGGUUUGUCACAGCGUCCCUGGCACAGUGCCUCAAACAGCGGGCAGGGGCUGUUUUUGUCUUGAAACGCAGAUCCUUCCACAUCCAACUCCGUCACCCAAUCCACACGCUCGUGAAAUCAAGGUCUGCACCCCCGGUUUGGGGUAGGAGCGAUCUUCCCACACUCACGAAAUCUCCCCAAAAUCCUCGACAACCAUUCCGUCCAGGACCCCAGCGGCUCAGGACACGGAAAGCACAUUCUCUAUUGCAAUUUAACAUUGGAGCCAUGUGUUCAUGUGGCCUCAACUCAUGACCCUCUCCCAUGUCCCCUCCAGCCCCGGGGAUAACUGACUGCCCUCCUCUGGGGUAAAACCUCAAACACUGGCUGUCGCCCUUACAUCGUAUAUUUGAUUUUAUUCAGCGGACAAUCAGCUUCACCCUCUGUCCUUCUCCCAGUGACGUGGCCUCACCCUGUGCGCCCCGUGUCUCUCCUCCACAUCACGUCCGCUCUGUCAGGCUUCCCUUUGCGGGCUGCUGCCUCAACCGGGCAAGACGUUCUUGUUCCCGAGUGACCCCGGCAGCCUGGUUACGCCCCGUGAGGGGCUCGGGCCCUUCCCAACCACGCCGCUGACAAAGCUGUUCUCUCUCAUCCUUAACUGGCUCACUGGCUCUUUGGACCCAAGGGCAGGACGCCACGUUGUUAUAUUCACCCUUAUCACCUCUCAGUGUGUGAUCACAGAUCGCGGCCCCAAAUGCUUUUGGUCCCUCGUAGCCUCAGUUGCCCCAUGCGUGAGGGGGCCGGAUACCCCGGAGCCCCAGUGAUUUAUGUUACAGAAAGGGCGUUGAGGGCCGCCCAUGUAAACAGCCAUCUCUGAUAUUAUUUUCCCCAGGUCAUCAGUGAAACACCUGGGCAUGCUGUGAGGCCCUCUGGCCGCCACCUCCUGGCGGUCCCCAUCACUUUACCCCCGACAACCCUCCGGUCUUUUUGUGGGCUUUCUUGGCCCGAUGCCUCACUGGCAGCUAAGGACCCUGUGUGCUCCUGCAUCAGCUCACACUGAGGCCACCACCCCUCCCCAAAUAAAGGCGAAAGGGCCCUCUACUGGCUCUGUGCCAGCUCUGUGCCCACGCGCCACAAUCCGACCAAACACACCAGCAGAGCAGAAUUACAUUUCAGUGCCAAUUAAAGCUCAAAGAGAGGGACUUUGGAUACACCGUAUGAACCAUUCUUUAGCAUUCCAGUUCAAAUAGACAAACGCAGUCACAAGAACACGAAAGAACACUGAGGUUCAUAACAGCUAUAGCUUAUAUAGAGCCUUACUCGUAUUUCGGACGAAGCCACGUCUAGAAUGGGCCCACCAGUGGGCUUUAAAAUCACAUAUCAAAGUUUCGGUCCAAGGCAGACAGAAAGGAAUUGAUUUGAACCAAUUUUUUAGUAAAGCACUGAAAAUACGGUUUAAUCUUUAGACAAACUAGUCAAAGAGCACACUGGUCGCUCAGUAAACCGGGAGAACAGACUUCGGUUGGGUCAGAUGAGAACUGCUUUCUUCACCCCUCCAAGAUGCUGCGGCAUUUCCAAGCAGAAAAUAAGAUCUUAACAACCGAGACUGGCUGAGGAGGCCACUCUGUGUUUCCACGGAGCUAUCUGCUAACAUUUAUCCUGUCAUGAGACCCUUGCCCAGGACCCGUGCAGACUGAAAAAAUGGCUGCAAACGUCCGGUGUAUUUUGAGAAGAGCGGCUGUAGGACUGGGAAGAUUCUCAACCGCCAUCAUAAGGAAGUCUAAUUUCUGACGAUCGCGGAAUGUGUUUGGACGCCGUCUGCUGCAACGAACCCCAGCAAUGAGAAAUGGAACAUCACCUCCUCGUGAGGACAUGUCACUGAUAGCAGAGCACUUUUCAACAGCGAUCUUCUUAAAGAUAAAGAGCACGACCUACCUCGACUCCGUUCAGAAGAUGCCGGAACUCAGGGCAGAUGAAGGAGCUGCCCGCGUAGGCAGCGUCGAUGUGCAGCCACACGUCCUCCUUGUUACCUGAAAUCCAGAGGUGACCUGUGAGUUCCCCGACAGAUGCCCUCCUCACGGGGGCCUGAUAACUUACUGCAUACGGUCUAUCAACAGCAUUUGCUGGCCCGAUGGUGGACCCUAACUGGCUCCUUGAGUCUGAAGGCAACGAAACUGAGGGUGGCUGGCCCCAGACUGUGGCAGAGCACAGACAAGGUGCUCAGUGAAUGUGUGGACUUGAAGGAAGGAAAAUGGGAUCCCCCACCCUGCUUGACUUGAAGGUGGAUGCUCAUGGUCUAAGGGCUCAGCCCGCCCUA